AGAGUUUGAUCCUGGCUCAGAACGAACGCUGGCGGCGUGCCUAAUACAUGCAAGUCGCGCGAGAAAGAGGCCGCAAGGCCUCAAGUAAAGCGGCAAACGGGUGAGUAACACGUAAGCAAUCUUCCUCCAAGUCCGGAAUAACCCUGCCAACGCGGGGCUAAUACCGGAUGUGGUCCUUUGGCCUCAUGGCCGAUGGAUUAAAGGUGACCUCUACACGUAAGUUUCCACUUGGAGAUGAGCUUGCGGCCCAUUAGCUUGUUGGCGGGGUAACGGCCCACCAAGGCAGUGAUGGGUAUCCGGCCUGAGAGGGUGUACGGACACAUUGGGACUGAGAGACGGCCCAGACUCCUUCGGGAGGCAGCAGUAGGGAAUUUUGCGCAAUGGACGAAAGUCUGACGCAGCAACGCCGCGUGAGUGAUGAAGGUCUUCGGAUUGUAAAGCUCUGUUGAGUGGGAAGAAAAGUCACGUUUUUAACAAAAACGGGGCCUGACGGUACCGCUCGAGGAAGCACCAGCUAACUACGUGCCAGCAGCCGCGGUAAUACGUAGGGUGCAAGCGUUGUUCGGAAUCACUGGGCGUAAAGGGAGCGUAGGCGGAGCCGUAAGUUGGAUGUUUAAUCCCCGGGCUUAACCCGGGAUCUGCUUCCAAUACUGCGGCCCUUGAGUAGGGAAGAGGGAGAUGGAAUUCCAGGUGUAGCGGUGGAAUGCGUAGAUAUCUGGAAGAACACCGGCAGCGAAGGCGGUCUCCUGGUCCUAUACUGACGCUGAGGCUCGAAAGUUAGGGGAGCAAACAGGAUUAGA
rnacentral:rRNA from 1 species